rnacentral:rRNA from 1 species
UACGUAGGGGGCAAGCGUUGUCCGGAAUCAUUGGGCGUAAAGCGCGUGUAGGCGGCCCUGUAAGUCCGCUGUGAAAGUCGGGGGCUCAACCCUCGAAUGCCGGUGGAUACUGUCGGGCUAGAGUGCGGGAGAGGCGAGUGGAAUUCCUGGUGUAGCGGUGAAAUGCGCAGAUAUCAGGAGGAACACCAAUUGCGAAGGCAGCUCGCUGGAACGUAACUGACGCUGAGACGCGAAAGCGUGGGGAGCAAACAGG